rnacentral:rRNA from 1 species
CUACGGGCGGCAGCAGUGGGGAAUAUUGCGCAAUGGGCGAAAGCCUGACGCAGCAACGCCGCGUGAGUGAUGAAGGCCUUCGGGUCGUAAAGCUCUGUCGGGAGGGAAGAACACCUUCGGGUCUGACGGUACCUCCCGAGGAAGCACAGGCUAACUCCGUGCCAGCAGCCGCGGUAAUACGGAGUGUGCAAGCGUUGUUCGGAAUUACUGGGCGUAAAGCGCGCGUAGGCGGCUUGAUAAGUCAGAUGUGAAAUCCCUCGGCUUAACCGAGGAACUGCAUUUGAAACUGUCAGGCUUGAGUACGGGAGGGGGAAGCGGAAUUCCCAGUGUAGAGGUGAAACUCGUAGAUAUUGGGAGGAACACCAGCGGCGAAGGCGGCUUCCUGGACCGAUACUGACGCUGAGGCGCGAAAGCGUGGGGAGCAAACAGGAUUAGAUACCCCAGUAGUC